rnacentral:rRNA from 1 species
UACGGAGGGUGCGAGCGUUAAUCGGAAUUACUGGGCGUAAAGCGUGCGUAGGCGGUUUGAUAAGUCGGGUGUGAAAGCCCCGGGCUUAACCUGGGAAUUGCAUUCGAUACUGUCUGACUCGAGUCUGGGAGAGGGAAGCGGUAUUCCGGGUGUAGCGGUGAAAUGCGUAGAUAUCCGGAGGAACAUCAGUGGCGAAGGCGGCUUCCUGGCCUAAGACUGACGCUGAGGUACGAAAGCGUGGGGAGCAAACAGG